UACGUAGGGUGCAAGCGUUAAUCGGAAUUACUGGGCGUAAAGCGUGCGCAGGCGGUUAUGCAAGACAGAUGUGAAAUCCCCGGGCUCAACCUGGGAACUGCAUUUGUGACUGCAUGGCUAGAGUACGGUAGAGGGGGAUGGAAUGCCGCGUGUAGCAGUGAAAUGCGUAGAUAUGCGGAGGAACACCGAUGGCGAAGGCAAUCCCCUGGACCUGUACUGACGCUCAUGCACGAAAGCGUGGGGAGCAAACAGG
rnacentral:rRNA from 1 species